GCACCCAGCCGAAAUAUUCUUUAUAUAAUUUUAGCACUUCGACCUUUGUGCUUUUUUUUUUUUUUAAUUUUUUUAUUUUUUUGAUAAAAUUUUGGACUUCAGCUAGCAGAGGUUUUAGAACAAGGGGCAGGAACAACCACCCAAAGUCUUCAAGAACCUAAGAGGUAGAAAAAAAAAGAAAGAAAUUUAAAGUGUGUUUGUGUGUUUAAGUAACUGCUAAAGAUCUCACAGAGUUAAAAGAAAUGCUUUCCUAAGAAAGCACAUCUUGAAAAAAGGGCAAGAUGGCGGACUCCGAAGAGGUUGUUUUGCCGCUGAAUGCUGCUUCCACUGCCCCAAUUUCAUUUGGCUUCACUCGCACGCCUGCCCAAAGGCAGCUGGCCGACUCGGGAGACAGCGCCAGGCCAUCCCCAGAGGAGAAGGAUUUCUUGAAAUCUGUGGAAGGAAGGGAGCUGCAGAGUGUGAAGCCCCAGGAAGCCCCCAAGGAUCCCUUUGAUCCAGAAUGACUAUCGCAGGCAGCCACCAGCCCGGUCACCUGGGCCAUCCACAGAUUCUGGGGCCUUGGUGGAUGGGGUGCUGUCCCAGGCUGUGGAGGAGCUCAUUGAGGAAUCCAAGGAGUCUCUGGAGGAGAGAGAGAAUGCGGGUUUUGACCCCAUGCAUGCUAUCCCCAUGAUCCAGAAAGGUUGCACCCCCAGCGGGGAAGGGGCAGACAGCAAAUCCCGGGCUGAGACAGUGCCAGAGGAGGCCAAUUAUGAGGUGGUCCCCGUGGAGGCCUAUGGGCUGGCCAUGCUGCGGGGCAUGGGCUGGAAACCCGGCGAGGGCAUCUGUCGCACCUUCAAUCAAGUAGUGAAGCCCUGUGUCAAGUCACUGUGGCCUAAGGGAUUAGGGCUGGGUGCCAACCUGAUCGAGGCCCAGGCCUUGACCCCUGCCGGCCCCUCCCGCAUGCCAAGGCCAGAUGAGCAAGGGAAGGAUAAGGAAGAUCAGCCUCAAGGGCUGGUGCCUGGAGGAUUUGUAAUGGUUCUUUCUGGCCCUCACCGAGGCCUGUAUGGGAAAGUGGAAGGCCUCGAUCCUGACAAUGUUCGGGCCAUGGUUCCUCUGGCUGUGGGGAGCCGGAUGGUGACUGUUAGUACUGCCUAUGGCCUGUCUCCCAGCAGGGAUUUAACAAGAACACCUUGGAUCUCAGGCAACAGAACGGAACUGCCUCAUUAUGGAAGACCCUCCGGAAUCGAGAACUCCACAUCCAGCAGGACAGCUCAGAGAGGAAGCAGAAACACCUUCCAGACCGACAGAAUGGGCCUGCAGCCAAGAGUGAGAAAGCAGCCACCAGGAGUCAGCACUGGUUGCACAGGAACCUGCGCAUGCGGUUUGUGGACAAGAUGUACAAAGGUGGCCAGUAUUAUAACACCAAGAUGAUAAUUGAAGAUGUCCUAAGCCCAGAUACCUGUGUAUGUCAGACACAUGAAGGCCGAGUCCUGGAAGGCCUGAGGGAAGACAUGCUGGAGACACUGGUUCCCAAGGCAGAGGGUGACCGUGUGAUGGUGGUGCUGGGCCCACAGGCUGGAAGGGUGGGACAUUUGCUGAACCGGGACAGUGCACGGAGCCGGGCUUUGGUGCAACUGCCAAGAGAGAAUCAGGUGGUGGAGCUUCACUACGAUGCCAUCUGCCAGUACACGGGCCCUAGUGACACAGAUGAAGACUGACCCAUGGGACUCCUCCCAUCCCCUAGGCUGUUACCAGUUCUGUACAAUAUGAGGAAGUUGCCUUCAAGAAGGUGGGAAGAUCAUUGUUCCAUCCUCUGCUUCUGGUGCAGUCCUGGGACAAGGGACAUAGAUGGAUGAACCAGUAGGGAAGCUAGAAACAAACCCAAUAUUUACCAGAAUUUAGGGUAUAAUAAAAACCAUUUCAAAUACUU